GACGAACGCUGGCGGCGUGCCUAAUACAUGCAAGUAGAACGCAGUUGCGAACGGGUGAGUAACGCGUAGGUAACUGCCUGGUAGCGGGGGAUAACUAUUGGAAACGAUAGCUAAUACCGCAUACUAACAGAUGGACCUGCGUUGUAUUAGCUAGUUGGUGGGGUUACGGCGCACCAAGGCAACGAUACAUAGCCGACCUGAGAGGGUGAUCGGCCAAAAUGGGACUGAGACACGGGCAAGAAUUCUAAGGGAGGCAGGAGUAGGGGAACUUGGGCAAAGGACGGAAGUAUGAACGAGCAACGCCGCGGGAGAGAAGAAGGUUUUCGGAGCGGAAAGCUAUGUUGUAAGAGAAGCGGUAUCUUACCAGAAAGGGACGGCUAACUCCGUGCCAGCAGCCGCGGUAAUAC
rnacentral:rRNA from 1 species